ACUCCUACGGGAGGCAGCAGUGGGGAAUAUUGCACAAUGGGCGCAAGCCUGAUGCAGCAACGCCGUGUGAGUGAAGAAGGUUUUCGGAUCGUAAAACUCUGUCCUAAGGGAAGAACAAAUGACGGUACCUUAGGAGGAAGCCCCGGCUAACUACGUGCCAGCAGCCGCGGUAAUACGUAGGGGGCAAGCGUUAUCCGGAAUCACUGGGCGUAAAGGGUGCGUAGGCGGCUUAGCAAGCCAGGGGUUGAAAGGCAUUGGCUCAACCAAUGUAAGCCUUUGGAACUGUUAAGCUUGAGUGCAGGAGAGGUAAGUGGAAUUCCUAGUGUAGAGGUGAAAUUCGUAGAUAUUAGGAGG
rnacentral:rRNA from 1 species